ensembl:lncRNA
GUAUCUCGUUUAGCGGUUCUCUUGUGCCUCCCUCCAGAUAAGUAGAUAUUUCCCUUACAUCUGGAGAACCACACUCCUCAUAAAAGGUCUACAUGGUCAGAUAGGCGUUUAAAAGUCCCAUCAAAGUGGAGGUUAUGAGUCAGGCGGCUCAGAAAGGCCUUUCCUUCUACUGAAGGCCAGAAAAUAUCCAUUUUACAGUAAAAGAGAAACACUUCUCUUUAUGUAACGGUGGAGGGGUCCUAGGUGCACAUGCAAGCAAAUGAAUGCUCUUUGGAGGAAUAACAAGGUAUAUUGUAAUUUAUUUACUAGCACACACAGAUGUUGUAUUCAUUCUAAUAUGACUGUUUGUCUGAGGGAAUAAGACAGAUCACUUUAUCGAUUAGGAAAACAAGAAUGCAAAUAUGUUGAUCUGAGAUGAGGAAAUAACCGCCCAGGCUUCUUGUGUGCUGCUAGCUUCUUUUAAAGUGCGUAUGUCGUUUCGGAUCUGGUUGGUUUGGAUCAGAUAGAAGCGGGUUCAUCUCUCACCCUCUUACCACACACAGUCCCACAAAUACACGCACACAAGGCAGACCAGACACAAACUUAAGAGUGCUGUCAAGGUUUUAUAUAUAUACCGUGAUGCAAAAAUGAGGUCUUUAACAGUAAAUAAUAUUGAAUAUUGUUAAGAGUAUAGCAUUGUACGCGUAGUCGCCAAUCUUGUUAGCGGGAGAUUAAAUGACUGGGGGUUAUUAGGCAGUAUCGUGCUUUUAAGCCAUGAAAUGUAAAGCAAACUCACCUCAUAAAUCUUGGGUCAGCCAGCUGCAGCAUUGUGUUUGUGUUACAACAAUCAUUUGUGUCCUAUGACCUGAACGUAUUGUACACAUUCCAGGAGAGGGAUCCUCCACUGCUGUUCUCACUAAGGUUUCUUCCCUUUUCUCCCCAUCAAAGGGUUUUGCAUUCUUGUUUUUCCCCCUGUGGCUGUGAGUGUUUCGGGGCAGAGGAUAUUGCAUGUGUACAGACUGUAAUGCCGUCUGAGGCAAAUUUGCAAUUUUGGGCUGUACAAUAUAAAAUGAAAUUGUAUGCCUCUGAGAAAAUGAAAUAUAUCAAGUGUCAUUUGAUGACACUGCAGGUUUUCCCACAAAGCAUGUAGGAGUUCGUACUUUUCUAUUAUAGGCUCUUCAACUGGGAGUGACGGAAUCUAAAACCAAUACAGAAGAUCACAUUUAUCUAUCAAAGUAUUUGGUACAGAAACAUUUUUUUCGCAGUUAUCAAACAUUUCCUGUAGUUCUUGACAAGGUUUGCACACACUGCAGCCGGGACUUUGGCCCACUCGUCCAUACAGACCUUCUCCAGGUUUUGGGGCGGUCGCUGGGCAACGCAGACAUUCAGCUCCCUCUACAGACUUCAUAUUGGGUUCAGGUCUGGACUGGCUGGUAGUUCAAACGGUAUAAGUUUUCCGUACGGUAUGAAUGUCUCACGUGCCGUUACACCAUAACUGACGUUUCUCUUCGACCGGCGGCAGAAUUUAUUUCUACCCGUCAUCGACGAGCGCCCAAAGCUGCUUGUCUUACGUGUGUUGAAAUUGAGCCAUGGUUAUAACUUUAUAACGACAAUUAAUAACCUACAACAAACAAUUUGUAACACUAAUAACUACAUUUAUAAAAAUUACCCCGCCGAACUGCAUGCUGGGUAAAGAAGUAACUCUGCUGCUACAUGAAAACACGGAAAAGAGCGAUACAGGAGGAACAACGAGAGACCAGAGAUGCACCAACACAACUUGUGCCCAAGAGAGGAGCUGAGUCUGUUUGGAGGGUUUUUGAUUUUUGAAAAUUCAACGUAAGUUAGAGCUGAAAAUAAUUUCUUACAACAAGCUAACGAGCGAACACGCCGGCCAGUUGCGAGCCAGUUGGCCAUCAAGCGGCGAACAGCUGUUCCGGUAGCCAGCGUCCUUUUUGGGGUCAAUGAAUUAACAUGUUUACUUGAAAAAGCAUUGCAUGGAGCCCCAGACCGAGGGAGAUUGACCGUCAUCUUGAACUUCUUCCAUUUUCUAAUAAUUGCGCCAAGAGUUGUUCCCUUGUCACCAAGCUGCUUCCCUGUUGUCCUGUAGCCCAUCCGAGCCUUGUGCAGGUCUAGAAUUUUACUCCUGAUGUCCUUACAAAGCUUCUCUGGUCUUGGCCAUUGUGGAGAGGUUGGAGUCUGUAUGAUUGAGUUGCUGGACUGUAAUGGCAAAAAUGUAUGUUACCCUUCAAAAUGUGUCAUUGAAUGAACAAGUGCUGGGAUGGUGUGGCCAUGAAAAAGAGUUGAGCUGGAGUGAUUCACACUGAUAAGAUGCCGGUCUCCUGGCUGUAGAGACACAACAAGUUGGUUUGGAGGCCACCUGGGGCCUGUUUCAGAAAGGAGGUUAAGUGAAAACUCUGAGUAUGUUAACCCUGAAAUGAGGGAAACUCUGAGUUUUCUGUUUCAGAAUGGGAGGUAUGUUAAACCUGAGAAAGCAGAGUAAGUCAAGCCUGUUUCAGAAAGAGAGGUAACUUAUACUCAGAGUCAGUU